CGCUCAAGCACAAAACAGUCUUCCCGAGCACACAAGACGACGAAGAGAAACCAUCACUUGAUAUUGAUCCACAGCAACAUGGCGGUCGAACACAGCCAUGCACACAGAAAAUGGAAAAUAACCUGACUGAGAGUGAGAGACUAAGUCAGUCAUGGAUUUUCAUGGAAGGAGCAGAAAAAAGAAAAAGAAAAAAUGAUCGACUCAAAAGGAAACAACAUUCACAUCACAUUUCCCUUUCUGAUGUGAUGUAUUUGAAAACAGAAUAUUCAGUGUAAAAUCA